rnacentral:rRNA from 1 species
AGAAUCAACGCUGGCGGCGUGCCUAACACAUGCAAGUCGCACGAGAAAGGGGCUUCGGUCCUGAGUACAGUGGCGCACGGGUGAGUAACACGUGAAUAAUCUACCUCCGAGUGGGGAAUAACUGAGAGAAAUCUUAGCUAAUACCGCAUAACACUUACGAGUCAAAGCAGCAAUGCGCUUGGAGAGGAGUUCGCGGCAGGAUUAGUUAGUUGGCGGGGUAAUGGCCCACCAAGACGAUGAUCUGUA